UUAUUAAUUACACUUUGGAUGGUGUAUCAAUACACCCAGUCACUACAAAGAUACAGGCAUCCUUCCUAACUCAAGUCACCAGAGAGGAAGGAAACCGCUCAGGGAUUUCACCAUGAGGCCAAUGGUGAUUUUAAAACAGUUACAGAGUUUAAUGGCUGUGGAAAGAGAAUACUAAGGAUGGAUCAACAACAAUCAGGGUUGGGGAGUAGCAGAUUACAUGUAAUCCCUUAGAUGUAAGGGAUUACAAAAAAACACUAACUGUAAUCUGUUACGUUACCAGCUAAUAUAUUGGAAUCCGAUUACAGAAACGUUUUAAAAACUAGAUGAUCACGUCAAGCAAAAGUAUUUGACACUUCUCUGUUUUCUCAAUUACAUUCAAAGCAGCACUGAAAAAAAUGCCUAAAUGUAAGUUUGUUCCACCUGUGCGAGUCUAAACACAAGUCAGUUUCUCUCUUUCUUUCCUCUGGUCUGUUUGUUUCUGAUUGUUUCUUUCUUUCUUGUGUUUCUUUUUUCUUCCAUCUCUCUGUUUCUGUCUCUCCACGAAGCAUGCAUUUGCCCUGAACAAAACCAGGGAAAAGUUCGUUUUUGUUAUCAAUCGCAUAGCUACUGUUUGUGUUUGUGUGUGUCUACGCAGAGACGUGUAUGAGUGAGGAGAGGCACCGGUCUGUGGCGAACGGGGAGCGAGCUGUGCCAAAACGGUGACGCAUCUCUCCCGUUAUUCUGGCAAUGAUCACCUGGAUUUACCGCUGUGUUGUUGUUACCGAACCGUUUUGUAGUGUUGUUGUUAUGUAAGGUAACAACAUCCCACCCGGCUUCCUGUUGCUUAAUUUACGAGAGAGAGUUUAUGUUGCAAGUCUGGACGCCUAGCACGCGCACAAGUAGCAACUCUGGUGUUCCUUCCGUGAGUUGGUCAGAGGAGGUCAACACGCACAUCCCGUCUACUAUUCCUAAUAUCUCUUCCAAAAACGACAGAGGCAGAAGUUGUUAAAUUAAACAAUGACCUCCACUGUUGGUAAAGAAAUGGUCAACGGAAAGUCCACCGGAAAGUCAGAAUGAGUUUAUUAGUACUGUGAACAGGUAGGCUAUGACGCCCGCGUGGAAGCAACCGUUCGGAUGCGACGUGGCGGCGGACGCUAGAUGGAGAGCAGUAGGUGGAGUACAGUAGUGAUGGUAUCUCUCUCUGUCUUCCAGGUGGAGUACAGUAGUGAUGGUAUCUCUCUCUGUCUUCCAGGUGGAGUACAGUAGUGAUGGUAUCUCUCUCUGUCUUCCAGGUGGAGUACAGUAGUGAUGGUAUCUCUCUCUGUCUUCCAGGUGGAGUACAGUAGUGAUGGUAUCUCUCUCUGUCUUCCAGGUGGAGUACAGUAGUGAUGGUAUCUCUCUCUCUCUCUCUCUUCAAGUUGGAGUACAGUAGUGAUGGUAUCUCUCUCUCUCUCUGGUGGAGUACAGUAAUGAUAGGGUCAGUAGGCUGAAGCUGGGUGAUUUUGGUCUAGCCAUGGUUGUAACAGAACCCAUCUUCACUGUUUGUGGAACACCCACCCAUGUCGCCCCGGAGAUCCUCUCAGAGACAGGGUAUGGUCUGCCGGUAGACCUGUGGGCGUUGGGGGUGAUAGUCCACAUCCUGCUCUGUGGGUUCCCUCCAUUCCGGAGAAGGGACAGAGACCAAGAGGAGCUGUUCCAGAUUAUCAGAGAGGGACACCUCACCUUCCUGGCCCCUUACUGGGAUCACAUAUCUGACGGACAAUGACCCAACACACCUCCAGGCUUUGUAAGGGCUAUUGGACCAAGAAGGAGAGUGAUGGAGUACUGCAUCAGAUGACCUGGCCUCCACAAUCACCCAACCUCAACCCAAUUGAGAUGGUUUGGGAUGAGUUAGACCACAGAAUGAAGGAAAGGCAGCCAACAAGUGCUCAGCAUAUGUGGGAACUCCUUCAAGAGAGAAUGCCAAGAGUGUGCAAAGCUGUCAUCAAGGCAAAGGGUGGCUACUUUGAAGAAUCUAAAAUCUAAAAUAUAUUUUGAUUUGUUUAACACUUUUAUGGUUACUUUAUUUCACAGUUUUGACCUCUUCGUUAGUAUUCUACAAGGUAGAAAAUAGUAAAAAUAAAGAAAAACCCUUGAAUGAGUAGCAGCACAAGGCCUGGUGAAAGCCUUGCUACAGGUGAAUCCAACAGAGCGACUGACAGCAGUGCAGACUCUGAAGCAUCCCUGGAUUCAGACCACUACAGACCAGAACAGACCAGUACCAACCAGCACAGAGUCCAUCCCCUACAGACCAGUACCAACCAGCACAGAGUCCAUCCCCUACAGACCAGUACCGACCAGCACAGAGUCCAUCCCCUACAGACCAGUACCAACCAGCACAGAGUCCAUCCCCUACAGACCAGUACCGACCAGCACAAACCAGUAAAGAACAGCACAGAUCACUACAGACCAUCAGAGAGCAUCAAAAUCAUCAACCCAACUUAUUAAGUCAUCGAAUGCCCCAAGCAACCAGUCGUCUGCUCCAACAAAAGCACAUCCAAUCCCGCCAGCCCACCACCCAUCCAGCCCACCACCCACCCAGCCCACCACCCAUCCAGCCCACCACCCAUCCAGCCCACCACCCCACAUCCAGCCAGCCCACCACCCAUCCAGACCACCACCCACCCAUCCAGCCAGCCCACCACCCAUCCAGCCAGCCCACCACCCAUCCAGCCAGCCCACCACCCAUCCAGCCCACCACCCAUCCAGCCAGCCCACCACCCAUCCGGCCAGACCACUGUUCUCCUCCACCACCCAUCCAGCCCACCACCCAUCCAGCCAGCCCACCAUCCAUCCAGCCCACCACCCAUCCAGCCCACCACCCAUCCAGCCCACCACCCAUCCAGCCAGCCCACCACCCAUCCAGCCAGCCCACCACCCAUCCAGCCCACCACCCAUCCAGCCAGCCCACCACCCAUCCAGUCCACCACCCAUCCAGCCCACCACCCAUCCAGCCAGACCACUGUUCUCCUCCACCACCCAACAGGGCCAAUCAACUCCUCCCCAGCCCCCGGCAGCAGCAGCACGUCUCAACCACCCCACCCAAUCUCACCACCCUCCAUCCUAUCCACAGCACCACCCCAACCCAGCCCCCACCAACCAGGCAGAACCCCUCAAUCGCUCCUUCCACUUUCACCAGCCUCCCUCCAAACACCCACCCUGUCUCAGUCCACCAAACACCAGCAGCACCCCACCCCUCCAGCAGUGUACCACCCCCCAGCACCCCUCCAAAUCUCCCCAGCCCCACUUCCCCUCAACCCAGCCUUCUGAUUGAUGGGGUUCCCAAGACUUUAAACACUUAUCAUUCAGGACUUGUAAAGAUCUGAUAUUCUGUACAGAGUGCCCCCCAUUGCCAUACACUGAUGUUCAGUUCCUCUUCAACUAUAUACGUAGAUGGUAGGUUGUAGUAUUUAGAUGGUAGGUUGUAGUAUUUAGAUGGUAGGUUGUAGUAUUUAGAUGGUAGGUUGUAGUAUUUAGAUGGCAGGUUGUAGUAUUUAGAUGGCAGGUUGUAGUAUUUAGAUGAUAGGUUGUAGUAUUUAGAUGGUAGGUUGUAGUAUUUAGAUGGUAGGUUGUAGUAUUUAGAUGGUAGGUUGUAGUAUUUAGAUUGGCAGGUUGUAGUAUUUAGAUGGUAGGUUGUAGUAUUUAGAUGGUAGGUUGUAGUAUUUAGAUGGUAGGUUGUAGUAUUUAGAUGGUAGGUUGUAGUAUUUAGAUGGUAGGUUGUAGUAUUUAGAUGGUAGGUUGUAGUAUUUAGAUGGGCAGGUUGUAGUAUUUAGAUGGGCAGGUUGUAGUAUUUAGAUGGCAGGUUGUAGUAUUUAGAUGAUAGGUUGUAGUAUUUAGAUGGUAGGUUGUAGUAUUUAGAUGGUAGGUUGUAGUAUUUAGAUGGUAGGUUGUAGUAUAGUAUUUAGAUGGUAGGUUGUAGUAUUUAGAUGUAGAUGGUAGGUUGUAGUAUUUAGAUGGUAGGUUGUAGUAUUUAGAUGGCAGGUUGUAGUAUUUAGAUGGUAGGUUGUAGUAUUUAGAUGGUAGGUUGUAGUAUUUAGAUGGUAGGUUGUAGUAUUUAGAUGGGCAGGUUGUAGUAUUUAGAUGUAGAUGGUAGGUUGUAGUAUUUAGAUGGUAGGUUGUAGUAUUUAGUUCAGUAGAUGAUCUAAUAUCGAACAUGACAGAUAACUUAAUACUUUCAAUAAAUGUUUUUUUUCUGA